rnacentral:rRNA from 1 species
GACGAACGCUGGUGGCGUGCUUAACACAUGCAAGUCGAACGGGAUUUAGUAAACAGAAGCCUCGGUGGAAGAUUACUAAUGAGAGUGGCGAACGGGUGAGUAACGCGUGAGCAACCUGCCUAUGACAGUGGGAUAGCCUCGGGAAACCGGGAUUAAUACCGCAUAAAAUCGUAGAAACACAUGUUUUAACGGUCAAAGAUUUAUCGGUCAUAGAUGGGCUCGCGUCUGAUUAGCUAGUUGGUGAGAUAACAGCCCACCAAGGCGACGAUCAGUAGCCGGUCUGAGAGGAUGAACGGCCACAUUGGAACUGAGACACGGUCCAAACUCCUACGGGAGGCGGCAGUGGGGAAUAUUGCACAAUGGGGGAAACCCUGAUGCAGCGACGCCGCGUGAACGAAGAAGGUAUUCGUAUCGUAAAGUUCUGUCCUAUGGGAAGAUAAUGACAGUACCAUAGAAGAAAGCUCCGGCUAAAUACGUG